GCCCAGACUCCUACGGGAGGCAGCAGUGGGGAAUAUUGCACAAUGGGGGGAACCCUGAUGCAGCAACGCCGCGUGGGUGAAGAAGUACUCCGGUAUGUAAAGCCCUGUCAGCAGGGAAGAAAAUGACGGUACCUGACCAAGAAGCCCCGGCUAACUACGUGCCAGCAGCCGCGGUAAUACGUAGGGGGCAAGCGUUAUCCGGAUUUACUGGGUGUAAAGGGGGCGCAGACGGCGAUGCAAGCCAGGAGUGAAAGCCCGGGGCCCAACCCCGGGACUGCAUUGGAAACUGGCAGGCUGGAGUGCCGGAGAGGCAGGCGGAAUUCCUAGUGUAGCGGUGAAAUGCGUAGAUAUUAGGAGGAACACCAGUGGCGAAGGCGGCCUGCUGGACGGUGACUGACGCUGAGGCUCGAAAGCGUGGGGAGCAAACAGGAUUAGAUACCCGCGUAA
rnacentral:rRNA from 1 species